rfam:Myotis lucifugus cont2.14232, whole genome shotgun sequence.
GGAGGUUCUUGGGUGACACACCCUGGAAUCAGGCUCCCUCCUCUCCAGUUUUGGGUGCGUCACCCAGGAACCCCA